AUAUUAUUAUUGGUGCAGGUGAAUGUUAACUUGGCUGGACUGCCUGCACUGGUGCUGCCAUGUGGAUUGAUUGAAGGUGGACCCGCCGGCCUUCCUGUUGGACUUCAAAUGAUUGGUGCUGCCUUUGAUGAGCUUUUCAACAUAUUUCAGAUGAUUUCUGAAAAUAUUAGGCAGACAUUCAAGUUUCAACAACAAAAAGAACCCUAGAAAUUCAAUGUUCAGGUAAUCUUUACAUCUGUUUGAGGUCCAUUCUUGGUUUUUAACAAACACUUUUCAGGUGAUGGUCUUCUAAAAUGCAAGGAACUGGGCUUGUCAAAGAAUGAGAUGAAGAAGCUUCUACCCAUCAUUGAUGCCAGCUCUUCAGAUUCAGGAACAUUUGAUGGCGUCUUGGAGCUUAUGGUUCAUGCUGGCAGAAGUCUACUUAAACCUAUCAUGAUGAUGAUACCUAAGGCGUGGCAAAAUGUUAAAAACAUGGAUCGUGAUAGAAAAGCCUUAUUCGAAUAUUUUUCAGCUCUUGUGGAGCCAUGAGAUGGACCUGCACUUAUAUCAUUUACUGAUGGCCGCUAUCUUGGAGCGACAUUGGACCGGAAUGGAUUGCGCCCUGGUCGCUUUUACAUCACACAUAGUGGACGCGUGAUCAUGGCCAGUGAGGUUGGUGUUGUAGACAUCUGCCAGGAGAUGUGGCUAGGAAAGGAAGACAUCUGAUCGGUCUAGAAGGGGACCAUACUGAAACAGUUCAUGUGGAAGGCUAUGUGGCAGUUCAUGUGCAUUUGUAUUUUGUUUUGAAAAAAUUAAAUAGACCAUUAAUUGUUUUGUUGAUAUUGUGCAGAAUUGUUGUCUUGAUGAAUGUUAAAUGGGUGAAAUAUGCACAGGUUCAAUCA